rnacentral:tRNA from 1 species
UCCUCGGUAGUAUAGUGGUGAGUAUCUCCGCCUGUCACGUGGAAGGUCCAGGUUCGAUUCCCGGCCAGGGAG